CUAGUAUUUUCUUUAUCCGAAAAUAUUUGUCAUCAAAAUGAAUAAAAUGAGAUGUAUUUAGAUGUAUUUUAAUUCUAGAUACAUCUCUUUUUAUUUAUUUUAAGGACAAGUAUUUCUGGACGAAGAGAGUAACGG
rfam:Triticum urartu cultivar G1812 contig527448, whole genome shotgun sequence.